UGGGGGACAACAUUUCGAAAGGAAUGCUAAUACCGCAUACGUCCUACGGGAGAAAGCAGGGGAUCUUCGGACCUUGCGCUAAUAGAUGAGCCUAAGUCGGAUUAGCUAGUUGGUGGGGUAAAGGCCUACCAAGGCGACGAUCUGUAGCGGGUCUGAGAGGAUGAUCCGCCACACUGGGACUGAGACACGGCCCAGACUCCUACGGGAGGCAGCAGUGGGGAAUAUUGGACAAUGGGCGCAAGCCUGAUCCAGCCAUGCCGCGUGUGUGAAGAAGGCCUUAUGGUUGUAAAGCACUUUAAGCGAGGAGGAGGCUACUUUAGUUUAUACCUAGAGAUAGUGGACGUUACUCGCAGAAUAAGCACCGGCUAACUCUGUGCCAGCAGCCGCGGUAAUACAGAGGGUGCAAGCGUUAAUCGGAUUUACUGGGCGUAAAGCGCGCGUAGGCGGCUAAUUAAGUCAAAUGUGAAAUCCCCGAGCUUAACUUGGGAAUUGCAUUCGAUACUGGUUAGCUAGAGUGUGGGAGAGGAUGGUAGAAUUCCAGGUGUAGCGGUGAAAUGCGUAGAGAUCUGGAGGAAUACCGAUGGCGAAGGCAGCCAUCUGGCCUAACACUGACGCUGAGGUGCGAAAGCAUGGGGAGCAAACAGGAUUAGAUACCCUGGUAGUCCAUGCCGUAAACGAUGUCUACUAGCCGUUGGGGCCUUUGAGGCUUUAGUGGCGCAGCUAACGCGAUAAGUAGACCGCCUGGGGAGUACGGUCGCAAGACUAAAACUCAAAUGAAUUGACGGGGGCCCGCACAAGCGGUGGAGCAUGUGGUUUAAUUCGAUGCAACGCGAGGAACCUUACCUG
rnacentral:rRNA from 1 species